UCCAAAUAAGCUGAAUUAGCAACAGACAAAGAGGUCUUUCGAUUCUAUAAAAUUGCCCCCCCCCCCCUUCCUCCAAACUUCGUGCUCCACUCGAUUUUCAACUCAGAGGUUCUUCAAACAGCUUUCAUAGUUCAUACUCUGUUUUAUGUUCUUAGCUUAACAAAUAGGCACCCACACUUGCAAAGAAAUGGAAUCAAAUGUUUCUUCCAACUCCACCAAGAAGCAAAACCGAAGCCUCCCACCAAAGAGGGGCCAAGUUAAGAUGAGAAUCCUCAAGACUAUCCUAAAAUCGGUUAGUUCAAUGGCGUCGACGGGGACGCCCAAGGAAAGUGGCCCACACCUUAGCUCAUCAUCCACAACACCGACGGGCUACCUUUCUGAUUGAUGAAAUGAUACCUUAUUUUCAAUAUUUUUUGUACAAGGUGGGUCUAAGUGGCCUUAUAAUUUUCUCCUCUUUUUUGGGUUUACUUAGGCAAUAUAAUUCAGUAGUAAUUUUCCCUCCUUUUUGUACACCAGUCAUGUAGUUUGAAUGUUUGAUAAAAUAGGUAUCACCGUAAUUUUUGGUUUUUCAAAUGCAUUUAUAUUUUAUUUGAUAUCCAAAUUGGAAUUGGUUGAAAUUCAAGUAGCAUGAUUUGAGUGCUUCAUAAGUUGUGUUCCUUCUCUCUCAAAUUUCCAACCAAAAAGGAGUUCCUUUUUUUCGGCCAACAAAGGUAAUUCGUUGAAUAAAGAGAAAUUACAUAAGGUACAAGCAGCCUGAUUCCAAUCACUAAAAGCGUAAAAAAUUUAAAUUCUAGUUUAUUUUAUUUUAUUUUAUAUAUUUUUUAGAAUUUUAUUCCUCAUUAUAACUAUUAAAUUUAUUAAUUUUAAAAAUAUAAUGUAAUAAACAUAUUGAAAAUUGCGCUGAUUUCUUGCCCCUAUGCAUGUCCCGCAUGGUGUACUUUUUAAAGUUUUGUCAAG
rnacentral:lncRNA from 1 species